ensembl:lncRNA
CUCCUCUGUGCAAGGCAGGACCUGACGUGGAGGACAAGGAGGCCCUCUGGGCACUACUGUAAAAAGGAGACUCCGUAUGUAGAUAGUUCUUAAUCUGCAAUUGUCUUGUUGUGUUGUGUUGACAUACUUUUCUUUACUGUUUUCUUAAAUUUAACAUUUAACAUAAUGCAAUAUAGCCAGGACAGCCUUACAGAGUCGCGACGCUUUGUGUUGCGUUGCUUCGCAUCGCGUCAAGGUCUGUAUGAUCACAAAAUUCAGAGUUUACCCACCUCUAAUUUUACCACUACAGCACUGAACAUAAUGCAAUAUAGCCAGGACAGCCUUACAGAGUCGCGGCGCUUUGUGUUGCGUUGCUUCGCAUCGCGUCAAGGUCUGUAUGAUCACAAAAUUCAGAGUUUACCCACCUCUAAUUUUACCACUACAGCACUGCUGUAGUGUGGGUGACUGUUCCUGUGCCAGAUAAGCCCAGUCAUCCAUCAUAAGGAAUAUACCCAGUUUGUAUUCUGUUGAUUUUUAAUCUAUUUUAUUAUAUGGUAAAUGUCAUCUUGUCAUCUUACUUUCUGUCAUCUUUCACCCAUUCAUAAACUAAUAACAGGAGCUUCCAUGCACAGCGCCCUCUGUCCAUCAGUAACAUUCACACCAUUUACACACCGUAGUCACAGCUAUUGGAGCAGUGUUUGGGUUAAGUGUCUUUCUCAAGGACUCUUCGACAUGUGUGGUGAACGGAAAUGCUGUAUGUGUUCAUUUGUACAUAGAUUUGGGCAAGUGCAAUCCGAUCAGAAGUGGUCAUGUGUAAACUGAUGUAGCCUACUUGGAGCUGUCCACCUGUGAUCUGAUUACCAAAGUAAAGGCCAGAGGUGAACAGGGCUUAAGGCUCUUUUCAACAAGUGAAGGCCAACAGUUUUAUUUUCUACCAAAUUUUGGAAAUGAAGGAUGCUUUAUCCUGAGGAUUGUCUCCAAAUUGGUACAAAUCUGUCCAAAACUAGGUAUGUAUUCUAUGUAGACUUUAGACUCUUUGAUUCAAUGUAAACAAAGAAACAUGUAAUGCAAAUGUUGUCUGUUGAAUAUGUAAAAGAUAUAUGUAUAGGAUAUGUUUCCUUAUUUGUUAUGUUCUUUAAUAAAACGAGUGGUAGAAGUAUGAACAGAUUGAAGUGGAAAAUAGAUGUAUGUAAGAAAUAAUACUAUAUAACUAAUAAUGCUGCCCUUAAAUAAAAUGUACUGUUG